rnacentral:tRNA from 1 species
CUCAGUAGUGCAAUCGGUUGCACACCAGACUGGACAUCUGUAGAUGCAGGUUCGAGUCCUGCUUGAG